GCCCGGAUAGCUCAGUCGGUAGAGCAUCAGACUUUUAAUCUGAGAGUCAAGGGUUCAAGUCCCUGUUCGGGCA
rfam:Danio rerio chromosome 4, GRCz11 reference primary assembly.